GGCACCCGCACAUGUAGAUGUAGACUAUGAAAAGGUACACGUUGCUAAAUAGCAGGGAGACAUCGCGGCCGGACCGGGAGCUGCAGGCAUCUUCCGGAUCAUGUGAUCUCCUACAGGAAUAGUGAUCACCGACUGAAGACACUGUCUGCCCAGGAAGGAUACAUUUCUUCAGAGGUUCCCCGUUAUGAGAAACCACCAUAUAGGUGAACAAGAACUCCGGCCAUCCAUCCACCUCGUCACCCUCCAGCGGUGACAAGAGGAAGCGCGAUGAGGGACCCUUUCUGGAAAAAGAAAAGGAGCUUCCCUGUGCUAAGAAAAGGAGGCUGAUGUCACCGGAGGGGGAAAAGGAGAAUUCCACCAAGGGAGCCUCUUCUGGAAUCGGAGAGAAGAGGAAGAGGUACGCCGGCCCUCUCCUGUCCAGGGAUAAGGACACCGACUGUCCCUGUGACAAGAAAAGACGGCUGAUGACAUCGGAGGAGGGAAAGCAAACACCAGCAGGCUCUUCCCGAACAGAGGAAGAGGUACGCCGGCCCUCUCCUGUCCAGGGAUAAGGACACCGACUGUCCCUGUUGUAAAAGACGGCGUUUAUAAGAGGCGCGGGCCCCCAAGGCACCAGCUUCCAGCGCAGAUAAGACCAGCGGAAGCCAUUACAGCGGUCACCUACUGAACAUCUUGCCUUGGGGGAAAAAACACCUAUUACCAACUGCCUGCCCUCGGAUCAUAUAGAUCCAUCUAUCUAUAUAUAUAUAGAUAUAUAUAUACAUAUAUAUAUAUAUAAAGCAAACCAGGGUUGUCUGCACUCACAGUGAAAUAAAAUUUGCUGGGGUGUCACUCAAAGUUCCAUUAGAGCCAGGCAUUUACCUUUAUCCAUGAACAUAUAUAUCUUUGUAUAGAGUGCACUCACCAGACUGUUAUUAGAGCCAGCAGGAUUUUUAUUCAGAUAUCAGGUACAACAUCACACACCGACGUUUCGGUCCUAUCUGGACCUUCUUCAAGGUUUAACUGCCACCAACAUGACUUAUCUAUAUAUAGCCAUCACCUUAAUUAUGCUCUAAUAGAAAUACUCUAAUAAAAACAGACAUGGAACAAAUAUGACAUAGACAAACACAUACAGACACAUUAUAACAACAGUCCUACCUAUUCAGAUCCCUUCAUAUCACCACUUGAUCCGUGUGUUAUCCAUCCCGUAUAUUCAAGUAAUGAGCAUUCACAUUUUCCCGCUAUGCCGCCUGGCCAUCUGAACCGCACGCCGGCGGGAGCGGAAGCGACCACAUCUCUCCUGGAACGCAACCACGUGAUCACAACAUGUGGUACCCACAUGUGUCCAAUCACUGCGGCGCUCUACGUUAUAUAUAUUACGUGCGUCAUCACGCGCAACGCCCAUACUCUCGUGGGGCUUCCGCGUCAUCACACAUUCAUCAGUGUAUUGCAGGGUACGCUGCCUAGCAACAUAGUUGCCUAGGAAACCCUCGUUGUGUAUACAUGUCCGUCAAGCUUAGUACAUGUGGUGGAAGCAUUAAAUUUAUGUGGGGUAAUACCUAUGUGUCCCAACAUUACGGAUCAUGGAAAUGAGGGAAUCUGAUGGCAUUUAGAUAAAAAUAGCUAGAAAGUAAAGAUCAUCGUGUAUCAUAUAGAAACUAUCAAAUUAGCAAUACAUAACAUAAAUAUAGUGCAGAAAUGUGGGCUUUAACAAUAUCAUGGAUCCUGUACAAAACAAGACUAAUACAGACCGGAACACAUUCAGGAUAAACAAAAAAUUCAGAAAAAUUUCAAUUUUUUUUUUCUAAAAAACUCAAAAAAUUUUUUAAAAAUAAUUAUGACGGGAUUAGAGAAUCUACUGACAUGCUCGUCCUUUCUUAUUAUAGGAAAAUAUUGAAAUGUACUGAUUCAUUCAGACCCUUCGGGUAAACAGUCUCUAAUUUAUGUAUCCAAUAUGCCUCACGGCGUAGAAGGAUCUUGGCACGAUCACCACCCCUCGGUAAUGGUGGAACUCUGUCUAUGACCAUGUAGCGCAAUGCUGUUAACUGGUGUUGAUGUUGUACAAAAUGACGUGCGACUGGUUUGUCCGAUCCACCAGUUUUCAAUGCCAAUCUGAUAUUAGAUCGGUGGUUUGAGAUCCGUUCACGGAAUGAUCUUAUUGUUUUGCCCACAUAUAAUAGUGAGCAUGGACAUAUCAAGAUAUAUACCACAUAAUCAGAGGUGCACGUUAGACGGUGUUGUAUGGGUAUCCGUCGGCCAUCAUGUGGAUGCGGGAAACUGGUACCAGUCAGCAUACUUCUGCAUGUGGUGCAAUUAGGGCACUUAUAGCAACCCAGUUUCUUAGGGGGUAGCCAAUUAUCUACUUCUUUGCCAACUGAUUGAUCAGGGCGCAUAAGCAUGUUUCGCAGAUUUGGUCCCCGUCUAUAUGCAAUCAAUGGUUGUUUUGGAAGAACAUUUUUGAGUACACCAUCCGUAGCCACUAUAUCCCAAUUUCUCUUGA